AGAGUUUGAUCCUGGCUCAGAGCGAACGCUGGCGCCAUGCUUAACACAUGCAAGUCGCACGGGCAGGGGUAACUCUGUCAGUGGCGGACGGGUGAGUAACGCGUAGGUAUCUAUCCUCGGGUGGGGGACAACCACGGGAAACUGUGGCUAAUACCGCAUGAUGACUGAGGUCCAAAGGCGCAAGUCGCCUGGGGAGGAGCCUGCGUCCGAUUAGCUUGUUGGUGGGGUAAAGGCCUACCAAGGCUCCGAUCGGUAGCUGGUCUGAGAGGAUGAUCAGCCCCACUGGGACUGAGACACGGCCCAGACUCCUACGGGAGGCAGCAGUGGGGAAUAUUGGACAAUGGGCGAAAGCCUGAUCCAGCAAUGCCGCGUGUGUGAAGAAGGUCUUCGGAUUGUAAA
rnacentral:rRNA from 1 species